CUUCUUGUCCGCACCUGAUGCAAAGCUUCGACCGGUCCACCUUGCUUCUGCACUGGGAUCCAUGAUGUCCGAAAUGCCAGCAUUUAAAGCAUUGAAUAGGUCUCUUCGUUGCCCUUAUUCGGCCAUUAACCCAACCAAUCCGGAUUUUGCUACUUCCAUCCAGUAGUUUCUGUGCUGUGUGUGUGUGUG